UGACAAAAGCAAAAAGAGUGCUCCCCCAAUCAACACCACAUGGAAUAGUCCCAAAACACGGAAAACAAAGCCAUCAGCGAAAGAAAAUCAAGGGCAUCAACAGGACAUGUACCGAACAAAUCCGUUCGUGUCCAGUCCGAUCUAUUUAUGUCAACCUAUCUCUUUGUGUCAACCUAUCUUUUUGCGCUCAGACAACAGGAGCUGAGAAGACAGUAAUCGAGGAAGCACCCGUCCUGCGCGCGCACAACGAAACAGAAGCACACUGCGCCUGACGUUUCCCUCUCAGAUACGAUUUCUACGCACCUCGUGUGUAUUCUGUCGAUAUCUGCCGAGCAGAGAGCAAGAGUGCGCGUGGAAGAACGUCGAGGCUCCUUUAAAUUUUGGUUUCUGAUUGCUGCUGCUACUAGAAACCCACGUCACAGUAUAUCGUGUUUCUGCUUUUUUUUUACGACUUGUUCACUCACGAGCACGUUGUAAAGCACCGUCCAGUUGUGUCGGUGGCUCGUGUUUGCGUCGCUUUUCCGCCUUUUUAUGGUGUAGCUCGAAAGCAAGCCUGUCUUGUAAGCGUGGUGUGACGACCAUCGCGUUGCCCUAGACCAGUUCCACGGCGAGAAGAAAGUUGUGGAAAAGAGAAUAUAUAAGCAUUUAUAUUGGGCUUCGCAGUAGCUUUCGGCAAGUUUUUUUUUGUAUGUGUUUUUCCGACACAAGGGUAUAGAACCAUAUAUCCACAAACUGGCAAUCAGCGACUUAGGUUUUCCUUUCUUGUGUCUUGCUCUUGCCUUUCUGUCCUUGCUAGUGUUUUGCCCCCCCCCCCCAGCGGGUUUACGUUGUUUUCUCGCUGUGGUCGUUUCGUUUCCGGCACUGGCACACCUACCCCCCCCAUCAUACACACACACGAGGAGCCCACUGCGUGUGAGUGCCUGUGCACACUUUUUACUGUGAGAAUUGUACACGGCUGGUCUUUCUCUUCUCUGUUUUUUUAUUUCGGCUGUUUCUCUGUUGCUCCCCUCUGAAGAGCUGAGCCGAGAGAGGGAAGGGAGAAUACAGAGGUUGCCUUAUUUCUGUACACGUUUCUUAGUGCGUGUGUGCAACAGCAUUUCUCGCCAGCGGAAGACAGAACGGCCAGAAAGAGAGAGGUGAGCCGCUGCUUCUUUGCCUACCUUGCUUUAGGGUGGUGGUGGUUGGGUCGUAACACCUGCGUAGGCCCAACACAAAGGGUCAGGUGUGUCUGUGUUGUAACGCUGGAAAGUGUUUUUUUUUCUCCUUGCUUUUCUGAUAUCUUCUGAAGCCAGUGCUUCACUUUUUCCUGCUUUCGGUCUCUUAUGAUUGCUUUUGCCCUAAAAAGCUACGCGCGCACACGAACACUAGCAUCUCUACGGUUCACUGGCUCUCUUCAGAGGGCAAACACGCAAUCACAACGCCAACAACAGACACCCCGGCGCCAUCGAGGCCUUUAACACCCCAUACACUCGCAGCUGGUUUUCUACGCCUCCUUAUCUUCACCCUGAGGUUCGUUGUACGCCUCCUUCCUUUUUCGGCCCUGGUAGAGGUUGAGGGUUGAAAGCUGGCGUGCAGCAUUUGAUCCCGCCUACGCGUGUCACGGUGUACUUCCCCAUCCGAUUCAACUACUCUCUUUUCACAACCGGCCUCUGCAUGCACUCGGUCGAAAAUGGCAAGCCGGGCGACCCGCAUGUCGUGGUGAACGGGUCAGAGAACCGGCGACAGGGAGAGGCCCGCAAGCAGAAAAGGAAGGCCACGCCGCUGCCCAUGAACCAGCUCAUCCCUAUGACCUUCGUCCUCCUCAACGAGAGCAUGUGCAGCACGAUGCUUCUGCCGUUUGUGGGACUGCUCGUCGCCCACCUGAAAGGCGUCUCCGUUGAUGAAGCCGGCUAUAAUUCAGGUAUGUUGAUCGGAGUCUUUAUGCUCGGCCAAGUCUUGAGCGCGCGGAUGUGGGGCUGGAUGAGCGACAAGUACGGCCGUCGCUUCCCCAUCAUCAGUGGUCUUUUCACAAGCGGGCUUAUGAUGCUGGGCUUUGGUCUCAGCACGACUGUGUGGAUGUGUGCCUUCUUCCGAUUCAUGCACGGCCUCUUCAACGGCAACAUCCUGGUUGCCAAGACAAUGAUGGCCGACAUCACCGACAAAACAAACGCAGCCAAGGGGUUUGCCUUCGUCAGUUUGUGUUAUGGAAUCGGUGUCUUAAUCGGCCCCACUCUUGGCGGUAUGCUGUACGACCCAGCCAACUCGUCGGCACUGCGAUGGGCGCACAUUAGCAAGGACAGCAUUUUCAGUCGAAAGCCAGCGCUCCUUCCGAGUUUGGUCAUUUUCUUCUACACAAACCUUGGCAUGCUGAUCUGCACAUUCUUUGUGAUGGAGUCGAAUGUGAAAGCCCAGCCGCUGCCCAUGGUUCUGCGGUACAUCUAUCCCUGCUUCUUGCGUGAGCCACGAAUGUUUGUUCAUCCGAGCAUGCAUUCUACGGAGCAGCUAGAGGCGACCACCGUCUCCACCAACAGCGAGAACACCAACGGUUCCCGCAGCGAGGACGAGGAUGGCGACUGCGUUGUUAUGAAGUCUUGCAGGCCGUUGGUCGGCAACGUUGCGAUGACACAGGUGGUGGACUUCGUGACCGUUACCUCACCGUUGCUGAGAGAGGACCCUCGGCUUGAUCAGCUUGUCCUCGCUGAAACACUCUCGAACGCGUCAGAGCCGGAUUUGACGGUGGUGCCUCACUGCGGGCAAAGCCCCAUGUUUCUUACCCGCGCCGAUACGGAAGACGAGGGCAUUUCUUUGGAGCUCAAACGCCCACCGUUCUCGUCACCGCUUUUGGACAUUCUCGUUAUUGCUGACGAAACGGAUGAUCUGCAGAGGACCUCGGACAAGUGUCGGGCUGCCGAUGCUGCAUCAGACAAAUACAGCCGCACCGUCUUCGUGGAGGCAGAGCGAGGAGGCAGAGGUGCCGCCGCGAUCAACAGCGGCGCCGACACCUCUGAAGGCAAAAUCGAGAAACAGCAGCAGCACGGAAAUGACAUCGAACUCAAACGAUUCGGAUACAGACAAGCGUUUGAACGUCCUGUAACCCGCACCGUGCUGGUUCUCUACGUCCUCCUGAGCGCGGCAGACAUGACCGUGCAGGAAAUUCUGCCUCUGUGGGGCAUCGCCCACGCCGACAAGGGUGGCCUUGGCUUCAAGGCCGACAAGGUUGGCUACAUCGUCCUCACCAACAGCGUGCCCUGCCUUGCGUCAAAUCUGCUCUUCUACAAAGCGUGCUGCCGGUACGUGAACAAGCUGUCGCUGUUCCGAAUCGCCUCCCUGUGGUGCGGCGUCUCCAUCGCGCUGUUGCCGUUCGCGUCUUACAUCAAGUCCAAUUACUUCCUUUUUCCGGCGGUGUUGCUGUGCACAAGCGUGCGCCAGUUCUUUUCCUCGUGGUGCUACGGGCUUAUGACCAUGUUGACCGCCCACUCGGCACCACCAACGCACGUCGGGUCCAUCAUGGGCAUCAGCCAGUCCUGUGGUGCCCUUGUGCGAGCAGUCAUUCCCUUCGUUGUCACACCGAUUUUUGCUUGGUCUGUCACGAACGGCCACUCUUUCCCGCUAAAUCACGUGCUCGUUUUUCUUCUUUCGGCCCUGACGUUUGCUUCAGGGUACGUGUACUCUAAGUGUUUGCGAACAAACGAGGACGACGUGCUGGAGAUGGUAGAGCGCAGCUGGAAAUGGGCGGUUGCGGUGAAAGACAGCGUGCAGACUGCCUACGGAAGGUUUCGCGGCACCUCUUGAAGUUCCGGACGCACUUAGAUGUCGCGGCAGUGGUACGGUGCACGAGGAAACCCAAGGCCUGGCGAAAAGAGAUCGAGAGGCAGCCCAUGAGCGCUGACAAGCAGCGGUGUCCACAAGGGACAAUAAAGAGCGAGGGUUGGCUACUGGGAACUCUGGACACCCUCUUUGCUAGGUUAUCCCUCGUGUGUGUGUGUGUGUCCUUGCUGCGCGAUGCGGUGUUGCCCUCGCUCCCAUCCGCUCCUCGGGCCCACGUCAUGUUGAGUAGAGGUCUGUAGUUUUUUUCUUUGUUUUUGUUUCUUGUUUUCCACUUCUCUCUCGUGCUCGCAUGCAUGUGGACUGAGCUCACUGUACAUGCGUGCCUGCACUGAAGGCUUCCUUUAUUCACCAACAUCUAACGUGGUAAGCUACAGUCGCGGAGUUCGGCUGUCGGCGGCAACGUCUGAGCCAUCGCCGUGCCGAAGAGGCCCGCGACCACCACUGCGUUUGAACCACCGCACUACGUAAUCGUGUCAAUAAUUCCGCAAACAGCCGCCUCGGCCCCCUAGCCCCCCCCCCACGGCUGCCCAGCGCGACAGGCUGGGGGCUCUACGCGGGGCCGGCGCACAGGCUUGGCCCCCGGCCCGGCCCCCUCCGCCAGCCUCCUCUGCCCGGCCACAGCCCCGCGACUGUGAAGGGCGUGCGGGUGGAGAGGAGGCUGGAGCGUCUCCUGCCGCCGCCGGCGCAGGGCGGUAUCCGGACUGUCGCGGCAGCAUGCGGGCAAGCCAUCCGGGCACGCCUCCCCUCCUCCUCCACCUCCCCCAGGCAAGAACGCCGUCUUGACGCAGGCCGCGGGAUGCCGCAAAUGCGAGCACGGCGCGCAGGCGCCGUGGGGCACAGCCGGCACGGUGUACCACACCCAGGCACAGCAUCCGGCGGUCAGCGGAGCGCGAGUGAGGGGCGCGAAGCGGCCCAUGCCGAUCACCCCCCUCCCCCGACGAGCAUGCCUGCGAAGCAUGCGGCACAGCCCGUCUGCAUCCCGACGGGGCGGGCUGAUGAGGCGCAGACGCCGGGAGCAUGGCGAGAGCACCGCCGAGCCCUGCAGACUCCCACGCGACGAGUCGCCGCGCCGGAUCACGGAAUAGCGCGACUUGCAGCGGCUCUGGGCGCAGGAGCACGGCACGCAGGCCGGGUCUCAGAGGGCCCUGCCCCGAGGCUGGCCCGCCUCCUCCUCGAGCUCGUGCGGCGUGCACGGUGGCCGCCCCCUGUUACGCGGGCGACAGAGACGCCGUCGCCACUGCCCUGGAGCGCAGGACGCUGCAGGCGACCCUGCUUGGAUCGAGGCAUGCGCCCCAGCGGAGGCCCGUCUGGCGCACGAGGCGCGCGGCUCGAUUUCGCGGCAGAGGGCGGUGCGCCCUAGACGACCAGAGUGUAGCCGUGGUGCCGCAGAGGUGGGUGAGCUGUGGUUAUGUGUGCGUUUACGUUUGUGGAGUAGCUCCUGAGAAAGGAUGCACGACCGAAAAAAAAAAAUUGAUCUGCAUGGAGAGAGAGAGCAAA
rnacentral:misc_RNA from 1 species